AGAGGCCGAGGAAGCCUCGCUGUCGUAGGCCGCAGCGCUUCUCAGCUGCGGGGAUUUCAAAGAACUUUCAGCUCUUGCACCUGCAGAGAUAAACAGUGGCUGAAGGUACCACCUACCGAAGAGAUUCAGAUGAAGGCAAAGUAAUCGCGUUUUAGAAAUUCACCUCACCUUCCUACUCCAGAACUACGAGGGAGAAAGUGCUGAACAGAGGUUUGGAGUGGACACAAUGUCAGGAGACUAAUAAAUGUAUUUAUUUAUAUCCUU